rnacentral:rRNA from 1 species
UACGGAGGGUGCAAGCGUUAUCCGGAUUCACUGGGUUUAAAGGGUGCGUAGGAGGGCAGGUAAGUCAGUGGUGAAAUCUCCAAGCUUAACUUGGAACUGCCGUUGAUACUAUCUGUCUUGAAUACCGUGGAGGUGAGCGGAAUAUGUCAUGUAGCGGUGAAAUGCUUAGAUAUGACAUAGAACACCAAUUGCGAAGGCAGCUCGCUACACGAAUAUUGACUCUGAGGCACGAAAGCGUGGGGAUCAAACAGG